UCCGGAUUAACACCGCAUGACACGCCGGGACGGCAUCGUCCCGGCGUCAAAUAUUCAUAGGAUAUGGAUGGGCUCGCGUGACAUUAGCUAGUUGGUGGGGUAACGGCCCACCAAGGCGACGAUGUCUAGGGGCUCUGAGAGGAGAAUCCCCCACACUGGUACUGAGACACGGACCAGACUCCUACGGGAGGCAGCAGUAAGGAAUAUUGGUCAAUGGGGGCAACCCUGAACCAGCCAUGCCGCGUGCAGGACGACUGCCCUAUGGGUUGUAAACUGCUUUUGCCGGGGAAUAAACCCCACUACGUGUAGUGGGCUGAACGUACCCGGAGAAUAAGGAUCGGCUAACUCCGUGCCAGCAGCCGCGGUAAUACGGAGGAUCCGAGCGUUAUCCGGAUUUAUUGGGUUUAAAGGGUGCGUAGGCGGCACUUUAAGUCAGGGGUGAAAGACGGCAGCUCAACUGUCGCAGUGCCCUUGAUACUGAAGUGCUUGAAUGCGGUUGAAGACGGCGGAAUGAGACAAGUAGCGGUGAAAUGCAUAGAUAUGUCUCAGAACACCGAUUGCGAAGGCAGCUGUCUAAGCCGUUAUUGACGCUGAUGCACGAAAGCGUGGGGAUCGAACAGGAUUAGAUA
rnacentral:rRNA from 1 species